AUUGAACGCUGGCGGCAUGCCUUACACAUGCAAGUCGAACGGCAGCACGGGAGCAAUCCUGGUGGCGAGUGGCGAACGGGUGAGUAGAGUAUCGGAACGUGCCCAGUCGUGGGGGAUAACGUAGCGAAAGUUACGCUAAUACCGCAUACGAUCUAUGGAUGAAAGCGGGGGAUUGCAAGACCUUGCGCGAUUGGAGCGGCCGAUAUCAGAUUAGGUAGUUGGUGGGGUAAAGGCCCACCAAGCCGACGAUCUGUAGCUGGUCUGAGAGGACGACCAGCCACACUGGGACUGAGACACGGCCCAGACUCCUACGGGAGGCAGCAGUGGGGAAUUUUGGACAAUGGGCGAAAGCCUGAUCCAGCCAUGCCGCGUGCAGGAUGAAGGCCUUCGGGUUGUAAACUGCUUUUGUACGGAACGAAAAGGACUGCCCUAAUACGGUGGUCCCAUGACGGUACCGUAAGAAUAAGCACCGGCUAACUACGUGCCAGCCGCCGCAGUAA
rnacentral:rRNA from 1 species